GAUGAACGCUAGCGGCAGGCUUAACACAUGCAAGUCGAGGGGCAGCGCGAUGUAGCAAUACAUUGGCGGCGACCGGCGCACGGGUGCGUAACACGUAUGGAAUCUGCCCUGUACUGGGGAAUAGCCCGGAGAAAUCCGGAUUAAUGCCCCAUAACAGACGAAGUGGCAUCACUUUGUCUUGAAAGCUCCGGCGGUACAGGAUGACCAUGCGCACGAUUAGCUAGUUGGUGAGGUAACGGCUCACCAAGGCUACGAUCGUUAGGGGGCCUGAGAGGGUUAUCCCCCACACUGGUACUGAGACACGGACCAGACUCCUACGGGAGGCAGCAGUGAGGAAUAUUGCGCAAUGGAGGCAACUCUGACGCAGCCAUGCCGCGUGCAGGAAGAAGGCGCUACGCGUUGUAAACUGCUUUUGGAUGGGAACAAUAACUCCGACUUGUCGGAACUUGAGGGUACCAUCAGAAUAAGCACCGGCUAACU
rnacentral:rRNA from 1 species